rnacentral:rRNA from 1 species
CCCUUAGAUGUCCGGGGCCGCACGCGCGCUACACUGAAGGAAUCAGCGUGGCUUUCUCCCUGACCCGAAAGGGUUGGGAAACCCGUUGAAUCUCCUUCGUGAUAGGGAUUGGGGCUUGAAAUUGUUCCCCAUGAACGAGGAAUUCCCAGUAAGCGCGAGUCAUAAGCUCGCGUUGAUUACGUCCCUGCCCUUUGUACACACCGCCCGUCGCUACUACCGAUUGAACGGUUUGGUGAGGGCCUCGGAUUGGUCUCGGCCCGCUCUUCACCGGGCGGCGCCGUUGGUCGAGAAGACGCUCGAACUUGAUCGUUUAGAGGAAGUAAAAGUCGUAACA